ensembl:lncRNA
AUGUGUGUGUGUAUAUAUGCAUUAGUAUUUGUCUUUAUUGGACAGGACAGUUUAAAGAGAGACAGGAAGCAGUCUAGGGGAGAGGCGAGUGGGGAACGGGAUCAGGAAAGGACCUCUGGCCAGAGCCUAAACUCAGGAGUGCCAAGGCUUUUGCUCAGACAAUAUGGACAAUAUGGAAAUCCUCCAGGCAAAGAGGCUGCAGCGCCCCCAGAGGUGGCUGGAGGCACCGCAGCACCCCCAGAGGCGGCUGACAAAGCUGCUGCGCCCCCAGAGGUGGCCGACGACGCUGCAGUGCCCUGCUCUUGGAGAUGGAGGAGGGGGAAGAAUGGGUCCGCCUCGCCACCCCUAGAGGUGGCCGAAGAGGCUGCAGUGCCUCCAGUGGUGGCCGACGAAGCUGCAGCGCCUCCGGUGGUGGCCGAAGAGGCUGCAGUGCCACACUCUCGGAAACGGAGAAGGAAGAGGAGGAGGAGGAAGGCUUCUUCUGUCCUUCAAGGCCUGGAGGCCGUCCCAGAGACUGGUGCCAUCCCAGAGCCGCCCAAGCUUCUUGCCCUGCCGGCACCACCCAAGCUCCUUGCCCUGCCGGCACCACCCAAGCUCUUAGCCCUGCCAGAGCCACCCUAGCUCCUUGCCCUGCCAGCUCCACCCAAGCUCCUUGCCCUGAUGCCAGCUCCGCCCUUGAUGAGUGCCCUGCCGGCUCCGCCCAAGCUCCUUGCUCUGCCGGCUCCUUCCUUGAUACGGGCUCCACCCUUCCUGCCUACCAAGCUCCCAGCUCCACCCUGGCCCCCUGUCAGGACUCCAGAAGUGCUGGAGUCUGCCUGGUCUGUCCCUCGGUCCCCACCCUGGCUGGGGUUCCUGUUCAGCCAGAGUCUCCCUGGUCCAUGACUCUGGCCCUGGCUGUCUGCCAAGUUUCCAGUUAGGCCGGAGCCUCCCUGGUGUGUCCCUCCAGCUCCGCCCUGGCCCCCUGCCGGGACUCCUGGACUGUCUGAGCCUCCCUGGCUCAACCCUCCCGCCCCUCCCUGGACCCUUGUAAAGACUUCCUGGGCUGUUCCUUUGGCACAGGCUUGGUUCCCCUCCCUCCCCUCUUUGUCUCUGUGAUUUGAUAUUCCUGUCUUGUGUUGUCUGUUGUUGUGUGGCGGUCUUGUUUUGUCAUGUUUGUGUUGGUCUUGUGUUGUCAUGUUAUGUUCUUGUCUUGUUUUUGGUGUGCCUCAUUAGGAACGCUACGUGGCAUCCCUUUGGAGAGUGGGUAGUGUCAUGGUUCUAUCACUUCGGUCUAGUUCAUUCAUGGUUUUGUGAUGGAGCCCUGACACUCCCAUCUUGUCUUGUUUUCUUGUGAGUGCACGGCUUUGAGUUUGCUUGAGCCGUGCGCUCUCUUGUCUGUGUGCCUUGUUUCAUGUUGGAGCAUGGUGUUCAGAUCCCGGCACCCAUGUCUUGUUCAGAUUCAGUUUCGGUUUGAUGUCGGGUUUCGGACACUCACGCUCCAUGUUCUGUUUUGUUGCAGGAGCGUGCAUUCUCGAGUUUGCUCUGGCUGUAUUGUGUCUUGUGUCCUGUCCUUUCCUUUCCUUUCCUUUCCUUUCCUUUCCUUUCCUGCCCUGCCCUGCCCUGCCCUGCCCUGCCCUGCCCUGCCUUGUCCAGCCUUGCCUUGUCUUGUCUUGCCUUGCCAGUCGAUUUUCCCUAUGGGGUAGUUUCUGUUUGUUUUGUUUUAUUUUGUUAUUAAUAAAAGCCCUAAUUACUCCUGCA